rnacentral:rRNA from 1 species
GACGAACCGUGCGAACGUUGUUCGGAAUCACUGGGCAUAAAGGGCGCGUAGGCGGCUUUUCAAGUCAGGGGUGAAAUCCGGCAGCUCAACUGUCGAAGUGCCCUUGAUACUGAUGAGCUCGAGGGAGGUAGGGGUAUGUGGAACUUCCGGUGGAGCGGUGAAAUGCGUUGAUAUCGGAAGGAACGCCGGUGGCGAAAGCGACGUACUGGACCUCUUCUGACGCUGAGGCGCGAAAGCUAGGGGAGCAAAC